rnacentral:misc_RNA from 1 species
UGAGGGAAGAAGAUGGGCAGAUAUCAUCAAGCCUGGAUGCGUUAACACGGAUCCAAUCUUCCCUAACAACAAGCUCACGGGGACAGAUGUUGGUUAUCCAGGAGGUUUAUGGUUUGAUCCCUUGGGUUGGGGUUCGGGUUCACCUGCAAAGAUAAAGGAGUUGAGGACAAAGGAGAUUAAGAACGGUAGACUUGCUAUGUUAGCCGUUAUGGGUGCAUGGUUCCAACACAUUUACACUGGAACAGGCCCUAUUGAUAACCUAUUUGCUCACCUAGCUGAUCCUGGUCAUGCCACUAUUUUUGCUGCAUUCAGUCCCAAGUGAGAAGCAGAAGCAGAACACCUUUUGUUGUAAUGAUGUGUAAAAGUAACAUUUGAAGUAGAUUUGUGCAAAGAAAAACUUUAAUGUUUCUUUUGCCACUCAAUGUAGUAUACCUACAUUUGGUUUGCCCUCCUGUAGAAAAAGACUCAGUGUACAAAUACCUUUGAGAAUUCGUGUCAGAUCAAAAAAAUCUAUUUAUAUAUGUUCG